AGAGUUUGAUCAUGGCUCAGGACGAACGCUGGCGGCGUGCCUAAUACAUGCAAGUAGAACGCUGAAGGAGGAGCUUGCUCUUCUGGAUGAGUUGCGAACGGGUGAGUAACGCGUAGGUAACCUGCCUGGUAGCGGGGGAUAACUAUUGGAAACGAUAGCUAAUACCGCAUAAUAGUAGAUGUUGCAUGACAUUUGCUUAAAAGGUGCAAUUGCAUCACUACCAGAUGGACCUGCGUUGUAUUAGCUAGUUGGUGGGGUAACGGCUCACCAAGGCGACGAUACAUAGCCGACCUGAGAGGGUGAUCGGCCACACUGGGACUGAGACACGGCCCAUACUCCUACGGGAGGCAGCAGUAGGGAGUUUUCGGCAAUGGGCGAAAGCCUGACCGAGCAACGCCGCGUGAGUGAUGAAGGUCUUCGGAUCGUAAAGCUCUGUUGUAGGUGAAGAACGAGAGUGAGCUUAGGAAAUGAGGCUAUUUUGACGGUAAUCUACCAGAAAGUGACGGCUAACUACGUGCCAGCAGCCGCGGUAAUACGUAGGUCACGAGCGUUAUCCGGAAUUAUUGGGCGUAAAGAGUGAGCAGGCGGUACGGCAAGUCUGAGGUGAAAGCGUAGGGCUCAACCCUAUAUAGCCUUGGAAACUACCGAACUAGAGUACGUGAGAGGUAAACAGAACUCCAUGUGUAGCGGUGAAAUGCGUAGAUAUAUGGAAGAAUACCGGUGGCGAAGGCGGUUUACCAGCACGAUACUGACGCUCAGUCACGAAAGCGUGGGGAGCAAAUAGGAUUAGAUACCCUAGUAGUCCACGCUGUAAACGAUGAUGACUAACUAUAGCCGUAAGGCUGUGGUGAAGCUAACGCAUUAAGUCAUCCGCCUGGGGAGUACGGUCGCAAGACUGAAACUUAAAGGAAUUGACGGGACCCCGCACAAGUAGUGGAGCAUGUGGUUUAAUUCGACGCUACGCGGAAAACCUUACCAGGGCUUGACAUGGAGACUAAGGCCAUAGAGAUAUGGAGAUAAUAGGUA
rnacentral:rRNA from 1 species